rnacentral:rRNA from 1 species
GACGAACGCUGGCGGCGUGCUUAACACAUGCAAGUCAAGGGGGCCCGACGCAAUAGGGCGAACCGGCGGAACGGGUGCGUAACACGUGAGCAACCUACCGAACUGUGGGGGGAUAGCCGGCCUAACGGCCGAGUAAUACCGCAUACGCUCUCAGUGAGGCAUUUCAUUGAGAGGAAACCUACGGGACAGAUCGAGGGGCUCGCGGCCUAUCAGCUAGUUGGCGAGGUAACGGCUCACCAAGGCAACGACGGGUAGCUGGUCUGAGAGGACGACCAGCCACACUGGGACUGAGACACGGCCCAGACUCCUACGGGAGGCAGCAGUGGGGAAUUUUGGACAAUGGGGGAAACCCUGAUCCAGCCAUGCCGCGUGAGUGAAGAAGCC